rnacentral:rRNA from 1 species
GAUGAACGCUGGCGGCGUGCCUAAUACAUGCAAGUCGAGCGAACAGACCAGGAGCUUUCUCCUCAGACGUUACCGGCGGAUGGGUGACUAACACGUGGAUAACCUACCUAUCAGACUGGGAUAUCUUCGGGAAACCGGAGCUCAUACCGGAUAUUAUCUUGAACCGCAUGGUUGAAUAGUGAAAGACGGUUUUGCUGUCACUUAUAGAUGGAUCCGCGUCGCAUUAGCUAGAUGGUAAGGUAACGGGUUAACAAGGAGACGAUGCGUAGCCGACCUGAGAGGGUGAUCGGCCACCCUAGAACGUAGACACGGACAAGACACCUACGGGAGGCCCCAGAAGGGAAUCUUCCGCAAUGGGGGAGAGCCUUACGGAGCACCGCCGCGUGUGAUAUAAAGGUCCUCGGAUCGUAAUAACCGGCUAUUAGGGAAAAACAAAUGUGUAAGUAACAGUGCAUGGCGUGACGGUACCUGAUCAAGAAGCCACGGCUAACUACGUG